rnacentral:rRNA from 1 species
UACGUAGGGUGCGAGCGUUAAUCGGAAUUACUGGGCGUAAAGCGUGCGCAGGCGGUUCUGAAAGUCAGCUGUGAAAGCCCCGGGCUUAACCUGGGAACUGCGGUUGAAACUACAGGACUAGAAUCUGGCAGAGGGGGGUGGAAUUCCACGUGUAGCAGUGAAAUGCGUAGAGAUGUGGAGGAACACCGAUGGCGAAGGCAGCCCCCUGGGCUGAGAUUGACGCUCAGGCACGAAAGCGUGGGGAGCAAGCAGG